CCCAUCCUGGUCUUAGGCUCUGUCCCUGUGAUAAAACACCAUAAUCAAAAGCAACUUGGAGAGGAAAGAGUUCAUCUCAUCGCAUGGCUCACAGCCCAUCCUGAAGGGAAGUCAGCACAGGAACUACAGGCCGGAACUGAAGCAAACGCCAUGGAGGAACACCGCUCACUGUUUUGGUCCCCUGGCUAGCUCAGUUUGCCUUCUUACACAUCCCAGCCCCACUCUCCCAGGGAUAGCACUGCCCACAGUGAGCGGGCCAUCCACAUCAACCAUCCAUCAAGGAAAAUGAAUCUUCAUUAGACCCUUCCCUCAGGGUUCAGGGAACUCUACAGAAAAGGAGACCGAUUGGAAGAGCCAGAGGCAUUGGUGGCACAAAGGAAACAGUGUCUUCCAGACACAAUAGGACUGACAGACAUAUGAACUCGCUGAGACUGUGUGAGAAGGCCUGGACAGAUUCAAGCCUGAAUGGGGUCCCAGCACCGGAAGGGAGAGGACAUGAGCCCUAUUCCUAACCAAGAAGCUAUCUCCAAAGGAGUCUCACUGAGUGAAUUCCCUGUACACCCAGCAGUAGAUGGCCAGCUCAAAAACGAACUCAAUGGUGUGAAGACGCACCUCUCAUCUGGACCAGGUCUUCUGCUGGAAGCCUCUAUAAGGACAUGGAAGAAGGAAGCUUUGCCCUUGGCCUGCUUGCUGUCACUUGGCUAGGAUGUCCAUUCCUUUACCGGCAUGAGAGUCUCCUUCUUCAGGAUUCCAGCCUACACUGCAGACCAACUGAGACAUCCAGACUCCUGGCCUGAGCAACUACUGGAUUCUUGGAUCUUCAUUCAUAGGCAGCCUUUGUUGAAUUAGCUGGACCACAGCCUGUAAGUCAUGCUAAUAAAUCCCAUUUCCGCAUAUAAAGAGAUUCAUUCUAUAAGUUCUGUUAUUCUAGAGAACCCUGACUAAUAUAGCCCUGUCCCGGGGUUUUCUGUACUGGUUGUAUGACCGAGUUGGGAGAACCUUACCCAACAGCCAGGGCAGCUUUUGGUACCGUGUAACAACCUUUAAUCCUACUCUGCAAUGGCAGCGCAUCUACCUUUGUGGGAUGUCAGCAACAGUUACACCAUG